rnacentral:rRNA from 1 species
UGCUGCUUCGCUGACGAGUGGCGGACGGGUGAGUAAUGUCUGGGAAACUGCCUGAUGGAGGGGGAUAACUACUGGAAACGGUGGCUAAUACCGCAUAACGUCGCAAGACCAAAGAGGGGGACCUUCGGGCCUCUUGCCAUCAGAUGUGCCCAGAUGGGAUUAGCUAGUUGGUGAGGUAACGGCUCACCAAGGCGACGAUCCCUAGCUGGUCUGAGAGGAUGACCAGCCACACUGGAACUGAGACACGGUCCAGACUCCUACGGGAGGCAGCAGUGGGGAAUAUUGCACAAUGGGCGCAAGCCUGAUGCAGCCAUGCCGCGUGUAUGAAGAAGGCCUUCGGGUUGUAAAGUACUUCCAGCGGGGAGGAAGGAGUUGUGGUUAAUAACCGCAGCAAUUGACGUUACCCGCAGAAGAAGCACCGGCUAACUCCGUGCCAGCAGCCGCGGUAAUACGGAGGGUGCAAGCGUUAAUCGGAAUUACUGGGCGUAAAGCGCACGCAGGCGGUCUGUCAAGUCGGAUGUGAAAUCCCCGGGCUCAACCUGGGAACUGCAUUCGAAACUGGCAGGCUUGAGUCUUGUAGAGGGGGGUAGAAUUCCAGGUGUAGCGGUGAAAUGCGUAGAGAUCUGGAGGAAUACCGGUGGCGAAGGCGGCCCCCUGGA